GACGAACGCUGGCGGCGUGCCUAAUACAUGCAAGUUGAGCGAUGAAGAUUGGUGCUUGCACCAAUUUGAAGAGCAGCGAACGGGUGAGUAACGCGUGGGGAAUCUGCCUUUGAGCGGGGGACAACAUUUGGAAACGAAUGCUAAUACCGCAUAAUAACUUUAAACAUAAAUUUUAAGUUUGAAAGAUGCAAUUGCAUCACUCAAAGAUGAUCCCGCGUUGUAUUAGCUAGUUGGUGAGGUAAAGGCUCACCAAGGCGAUGAUACAUAGCCGACCUGGGAGGGUGAUCGGCCACAUUGGGACUGAGACACGGCCCAAACUCCUACGGGAGGCAGCAGUAGGGAAUCUUCGGCAAUGGACGAAAGUCUGACCGAGCAACGCCGCGUGAGUGAAGAAGGUUUUCGGAUCGUAAAACUCUGUUGGUAGAGAAGAACGUUGGUGAGAGUGGAAAGCUCAUCAAGGGACGGUAACUACCCAGAAAAGGACGGCUACUACGUG
rnacentral:rRNA from 1 species